GCCCGUGUGGAGUGACGAUGUUCAGUUAUGGAUACGUGGAAAUGAAGAAAAUAUAGGAAACGUAUGCCUAACUGAGUAUCAUCACUACGCA
rnacentral:miRNA from 1 species